GGUGCUGUGGCUCAAGUGGUAGAGCACUAGCCUUGAGCUGGAGAGCUGAGGGACAGCACCA
rnacentral:tRNA from 1 species